rnacentral:lncRNA from 1 species
GAAUACAAUACGAUUUCAAAACUCCAGAGUCCGCGAAGUUUGGCCCUCCAUCGAGGGUCGGCUCUUGCCUGAAGUACGAGCCUCGACGCCCUGACUUGAGCCCUACGUCUCGUCGAAAACCUACGCUUCGAUCAACGAAUCUAUGACUCGAUCGUUGAAUCUACGGCUCAAUCUACGUCCCGAUCACCGACGACAUACCGGAUUCUACGACAGGGAUCGGAGGAGCAAAAUAUCUACGAUGGCCCC